CCUACGUGAGGCAGCAGUGGGGAAUAUUGCACAAUGGGGGAACCCUGAUGCAGCGACGCCGCGUGGGUGAAGGAGUACUUCGGUACGUAAAGCCCUAUCAGCAGGAAAGAAAAUGACGCUACCUGACUAAGAAGCCCAGGCGAACUCCGUGACAGCAGCCCCGGUAAUGCGGCGGGGGCAAGCGUUAUCCGGAUGUUCGGGGUGUAAAGGGAGCGUAGGCGGCAGUGCAAGUCCGGAGUGAAAGCCCGGGGCUCAACCCUGGGGCUGCUCUGGAAACUGCAAAGCGGGAGUGCGGGAGGGGCAGGCGGAAUGCGUGGUGUAGCGGUGAAAUGCAUAGAUAUCAGGAGGAACACCGGCGGCGAAGGCGGCCUGCUGGACCGUAACUGACGUUGAGGCUCGAAAGCGUGGGGAGCAAACAGGAUUAGAUACCCGAGUAGUC
rnacentral:rRNA from 1 species